rnacentral:lncRNA from 1 species
GCGGAGUCCAUGGAGGAAAGCAGGCGACGGCUACAGGUAGGCGCUCAGCUUACCCUACUGUGUAGUUCAGUGCGUCACCGUAGGGAUAGGAGCGCCGCCACCGUCUCCAGGUACGUCCUCGACCAGGUCGUGCUCGGGCUGCCCUCGGGCAUGCCCACGCCAUAGAUCAGGUCAUGAUCUCGUGGUUGAAUGCCUUCGGAGGUCUCCCUGAGGUCUGAUCUGAUGCCCUUGUUGAACCCAUCCCUUACUCUCCGCCAGCUGGGUCUCAUUCAAUGCUGAUGCUUGCUACCAUAGUGUGCUUCAGGAGAUCAACAACAUGCUGAGAUGGAAGCAACUAAAAGCAUCAGUUUUGCCAUUACACGACGACGUGCAAAAGUAGCACGUCAUCAAUCACACCUGACAACACAUACAAAUUCCAUUAAUUUGCAAUUCUUCGGUUGACGCACUUGAACAAAAGCAUCAGUUUUCUACAUUGUGACGAUCACAAGCAUCUAAUUAUGCUUCUCAAAGUUUGUAAUCAUGUGAUGCAUCCUUGAAAUCAGUUUGUUCUCCACCAUUGAGUAUCAUAGUCCUUCCGUCCCAAAAUAAGUGUCUUAACCUUAGUAUAAUUUUAUACUAAACUUGGUACUAAGUUGAAACAUUUAUUUUGAGACGGAGGGAGUACAUGAUACAUCAAUGUGUUAGGUAUAAAUUGUCUGCACUAAAACAUGUACGACAACCAAACUGCCACAUUCAUUCAGUACAACUCAUCCUGCUUCAGCAUCGAAGUUUUGAGGGGCCAUGAGAGCAGAGGUAGCCAAGUCGUCGUCACAUUAAGGCAGAGUGAGGACGUAAUUAGCUCAUUAGGAGGAGUUCAAUUGUUUCCCCAAAUUUCCUUCCACGAUUUUGUAACCCUUUGCAGAAUUGCAUGGGGAGGUUCGCAACAUUGUCUACUCAUCUGAUAGGAAAUCAGUAUCUAUUGUCUAUCAUGUGACUAUGGAACUGAUGCAGAGUACCCUUCUUUGCAUGGGAGUUAUAUGUGGUUCAGUUUGCAGAAUCUUGUUUGGUUUUACAUUGAUCUUGCAUGCUGAGUUUUUGGGCGUAUAACCAGUUUGUAGGUCCUACUAUUUGAUCUGUGGACGUGACCAAUGAGGGCAUGGAGAUUAUGGCGAGGCAUGGUGAUGCAGUGGCAGUGGUGAAGGUAACCACAUCGAAGGCAGCGGCAAUGGGUGGUUGUCGAUGAAAGCAGCAUGGGGAUGGGGGAGGUGGAGAGGCGAGGGAUGGAGGCGGAGGACGGCAGCCAGGGAGACGGAGUGGCAGUGAGAUUGGACGAGCUCGCCUGCGGAGUGCGUGGGCAAGAUUUCCUUUCCGGGUUGGACGAGGGCUUCUUUGUUUGUGUGUGUGUGCAUGUGUGAGUUCACACCGAUACUCGACCAAAUACUGUGCAUGGUUAUCUGAAAUUCUAGACAAUAGUUCACAUCCCAGCGGCAGGUAAGAACCUUCUUUUUAAUUUAUCAAAUGGCGUCAAUAGACCAUAAAAUUAUCUUCAUUUAUAAUACUAAAGAUAUGUCAAUACAUGUUCUUACAUUUAGGCUCCUAAACCUGUUGAAUGAGUUCUAUAUACAAGAUUUAUAUUGUCCUUCUAUAAAUUAAGACUACACUUGCUAUUGAUGAGUCUAUAAUUGUCAACCUGGACAGUAACAACACACUAUCGUUUUAUCUCUCAAUGUGAGCAAGUAAGAUUUUUUUUCAGAGCUUUAUUCUUUUGUAUUAUUUUUCUAUUACAGAAGUUGAUGCUCCAUCUUGUUAUUCAUUUCCUGGGAUCAUUUCUCGAGGAAUGUACGGAUUUCUCGAAGUGACGCAAUGCUAUGAUCUUCAACCAUGAAAAUGAAACUGUCAGCGCUGAUGGCCUGCUCCUGUGAUCUCAUAGGUACCAAAAUGCAGUUUAAAUCUCUUUUGGGGAAUUGGUUCCUGAUGUUACAUUUGGCUACUCCUGUAUAUCUUUUAGAUUUUUUUCUCUUUGUAAAUUUUGUUUUUUGUUUGCUCACCUUGUAAUCAACUCUGUAUUUGAUGAUUUAGAAAUCAGAAUUCAGUUUAACUCUGAAUUAACCCUUAAUGAUAAUAUAAUUGUUCUGAUUGCACUCAUCCCUAAUUCAUAGCUUCACCAAUAGUGAUAGCAUUGUGUCAAGGAGCAGGUGGAGAGGGAGAAAGAGAAAGGGAGAAUGGAAGCCAAGUGAUAGACAAAGAGAGUGAAAG